AGAUACACACUCCAAAAUGCUGAGUACAGCAUUCAUGUUUACCCAGUGGUGACCCAGUGUCAGGAUGUUGCUAAGAAACCUCAUGCGAAGACCUCCCCAACUGUUCCACCAGAACAGAUUAUUCCUGUCAGGAGAAUGACUAAUCUAUACAGCACAUUUUAUAUGCAUAAAAUGAGGGAAAGCCAGAGCCAAUUUUUAUUUCCUAUGAACAUACGGGGGAGAGGAACUGCCUCAGAAAACACAUGGAAGAAAAACACAUUAAGUAAAACAAAGCAUCAUUGAGAUGUAUAUUAAUUCACAUUCAGAAUAUCUAAUCUUACAGGAAGAAUUAGACCAAGUGUCAUAUUGGAAUUACAUAUUUUUGACCCUUCCCUCUCCCCCCAUUAUCAUUUAGCCUUUUGGUAUCAUGGCAUUGGUGACUGGACAGCAGCUUGUUCUAAUUUCCAGAGUGUGUGGAAUGGCCUUGAUAGUUUCUUUGUGACGGGGUGAUGUCAUUGGUUAGCCAGCUUCCGCUGCACCCCAUACACUACCAAGAAGUUCCUCUCUGUAUUAGUUAUACCUUCACCUGCCAAGAAAAGAAAACACAUAGCUUCCUUUCGUCUUCAGUGAAACAAAGUGGUUUAGACACAGUUUGGAGGAGGACUGCCAGAAACAACAAAAAAGGCUUUAACUUAAUAACGUUUCCA